AAGGCAUGGUGUGGGUAUUUCCUAAGCUGUUUUUUAAAUCUCUCCCAAGCUUCAUAUAUUGAUUCUACAUCUAAUUGAAUGAAUGAAGUAAUAUUAUUUCUAAGUUU